CCUACGGGUGACAGCAGUGAGGAAUAUUGGUCAAUGGACGAGAGUCUGAACCAGCCAAGUAGCGUGAAGGAUGACUGCCCUAUGGGUUGUAAACUUCUUUUAUAUGGGAAUAAAAUGUUCCACGUGUGGGAUUUUGUAUGUACCAUAUGAAUAAGGAUCGGCUAACUCCGUGCCAGCAGCCGCGGUAAUACGGAGGAUCCGAGCGUUAUCCGGAUUUAUUGGGUUUAAAGGGAGCGUAGGUGGAUUGUUAAGUCAGUUGUGAAAGUUUGCGGCUCAACCGUAAAAUUGCAGUUGAAACUGGCAGUCUUGAGUACAGUAGAGGUGGGCGGAAUUCGUGGUGUAGCGGUGAAAUGCUUAGAUAUCACGAAGAACUCCGAUUGCGAAGGCAGCUCACUGGACUGCAACUGACACUGAGGCUCGAAAGCGUGGGGAGCAAACAGGAUUAGAUACCCUUGUAGUC
rnacentral:rRNA from 1 species